rnacentral:rRNA from 1 species
UACGUAGGGUGCGAGCGUUAAUCGGAAUUACUGGGCGUAAAGUGUGCGCAGGCGGCCGCGCAAGUCGAGUGUGAAAGCCCCGGGCUUAACUUGGGAAUUGCGCUCGAACUACGUGGCUGGAGUGUGGCAGAGGAAGGUGGAAUUCCAGGUGUAGCGGUGAAAUGCGUAGAGAUCUGGAGGAACACCGAUGGCGAAGGCAGCCUCUGGGCCAACACUGACGCUCAUGCACGAAAGCGUGGGGAGCAAACAGG